rnacentral:rRNA from 1 species
AUACGGAGGGUGCAAGCGUUGUUCGGAAUUAUUGGGCGUAAAGCGCGUGUAGGCGGCUUGGUAAGUCGGUUGUGAAAGCCCGGGGCCCAACCCCGGAAUUGCAAUCGAAACUACCUGGCUAGAGUUCCGGAGAGGAAGGCAGAAUUCCCGGUGUAGGGGUGAAAUCCGUAGAUAUCGGGAGGAAUACCAGUGGCGAAGGCGGCCUUCUGGACGGUGACUGACGCUGAGACGCGAAAGCGUGGGGAGCAAACAGGAUUAGAUACCCCGGUAGUCC